rnacentral:rRNA from 1 species
GACAGCAGUCGCCGCGGUAAUACGAAGGGGGCUAGCGUUGCUCGGAAUUACUGGGCGUAAAGGGAGCGUAGGCGGACAUUUAAGUCAGGGGUGAAAUCCCAGAGCUCAACUCUGGAACUGCCUUUGAUACUGGGUGUCUUGAGUGUGAUAGAGGUAUGUGGAACUCCGAGUGUAGAGGUGAAAUUCGUAGAUAUUCGGAAGAACACCAGUGGCGAAGGCGACAUACUGGAUCAUUACUGACGCUGAGGCUCGAAAGCGUGGGGAGCAAACAGGAUUAGAUACCCCCGUAGUCCCUGUCUCUUAUAC